rnacentral:rRNA from 1 species
GCUUACGGCCAUACCAACUGGCUAUGCCGAUUCAUCUGAUCUCGGAAGCUAAGCAGGUUUGGGCCUGGUUAGUACUUGGAUGGGAAACCGCCAUGGGAAUACCAGGUGCUGUAAGCU